rnacentral:lncRNA from 1 species
AAUAUUGUGGAAGAGAGGCUGGUUGAUAUUGUUGAUGUGAUGGAGCUGCAGGAGGCGGCUGUGGUUGCUGGGUCGGUGGUAGUUGGUAUUGCUGGUUGGGAGCUUCUUGUGCCUGACCAGGUGGUUGAAAGUAGGGCUCUCGCUGUGGGAUGGAAGGAAUCUGGUUCGGAGGGAAUUGACUAGGUAGCUGAGCUGGAGGAGACUGCAUAUUGAGUUGGGGAGGAGGUGGCGGAGCAUUAGGGGGAGGGAGUGCAGGAAGUGUUUGAGGAGUAACAGGUGGAGGAAGUGGUUGGUGAGAUUGCUGAGGAGGAGAUGCUGCUUGCUUUGCAGAAUCUAAGGUCACAGUGUUCUGGGUUUCUGAUUGCUGGUCUGCUUUGGACACUUGAAGCUUUGCAAGCUGUAGGUGAGCCUCCACUAUUUCUUGUUUGUCCCUUAAAACCUGUACACCAGUUUGCACC